rnacentral:rRNA from 1 species
UGACCUCAGAUCAGGCAAGAUCACCCGCUGAGUUUAAGCAUAUCACUAAGCGGAGGAAAAGAACUAACGAGGAUUCCUUAGUAACGGCGAGCGAACCGAAGUAGCCCC